CUGGCGGCGUGCUUAACACAUGCAAGUCGAACGCGAAAGGGACUUCGGUCCUGAGUAAAGUGGCGCACGGGUGAGUAACGCGUAGAUAACCUGUCUUCAUGUCUGGAAUAAUACGCCGAAAGGGGUACUAAUACCGGAUAUUCUUGCUCUUCAUAAGUUAUGCAAGCAAAGGUGGCCUCUGCAUAUGCUACUGCAUGAAGAGGGGUCUGCGUACCAUUAGCUAGUAGGUGGGGUAAUGGCCUACCUAGGCGACGAUGGUUAGCGGGUCUGAGAGGAUGAUCCGCCACACUGGCACUGGAACACGGGCCAGACUCCUACGGGAGGCAGCAGUGAGGAAUAUUGCGCAAUGGGGGAAACCCUGACGCAGCGACGCCGCGUGAGUGAAGGAAGGCCUUCGGGUCGUAAAGCUCUGUCAAGAGGAAAGAAGUGUACAAUGGCUAAUACCUGUUGUAUUUGACGGUACCUCUAAAGGAAGCACCGGCUAACUCCGUGCCAGCAGCGGC
rnacentral:rRNA from 1 species